GUCUCUGUAGCGCAAUGGAUAGUGCAUUGGCAGUAGCGAUCCAAAGGUCGUGGGAUCGAAUCCUACCUGGGAUG